rnacentral:lncRNA from 1 species
AAUAGGACAAGAAAUUGCUUCCUAUACAAGGGUAAUUUAGUCUGUUACUAUCUAAUUAACUGUGCUUUAUACUUUAUUCUCAAAGAUUACACAAUUUGCUUUUACACUUGUGCCUUUCGUGCUUGAUAAUGCAGUACUUUGUCAAAGUUUUAUUUACCCCUUAUAUUGAAUUUUGUCAAAGUUUUAUUUGCCCCUUAUAUUGUACCUUUUAAAAUUAAAUCCACUGCUACAUAUUGCUAAAUAUACUAAAAUUUGAAACUUUUUUUAAUGCCUUAAUAUUUAUAGUUAUUCUUUGUUUUUUGCUGGACAUAUUUUGUAUUCAUUUGUAGUUAUUUGCAACUUUCUAGCUCCAUUCACAUUAACUUAUACCUCCACAAUCUAAACCCAUCUUCUUCGUAAUUGCAGAUAUUUUGUGAACUCCAAGGCAUCAACAUCCUUACCACCACCAACUAUUUUACCUUUUCUGUACAAAUAUGUAUGCAACAUAGCCGAAAAGUGCAUAGGCAGUGCAAUAACAAACAUAAUAUAAUACUUAUAUAUGCCAAUUUAUGAUAAAAACUACUGUCAACAACAAUCACGUGUUCGACCCGUCAUCUAGUUUUUGGAGAAAUAUGACAUUUUAUGUGAACAUUAGGCAUCAAGACAUCUUUUCAUUUUUUUUGAUAUGAUAGUAUAUGAUAAUUUGUUAGUUUAAAUAGUUCUAAAAUUCAACACAUAUUAAUUUGAUAAUUUAAAAUUGAUGUAGAAAAAAUAAAAGAAUAUGAUACACUUGAUGAUAAUUAUUUAAGGGGAAAGGGACGGAUUUACCCCAAAACUUUAAUAAAUGAUACGUGUAUGCCUUCCGUUAUACUUUAGGUCUACAUAAACCCUGCCGUCCAAUUAUAGAUACAUAUAUAGCCCUCUCACUAACUUGAGGGCCUAAUCAUUUCCACGUGUCUUAAUCCUAUUGAACUACCUUUGACCCCUUUUAACCCAUAAACAAACUACCCACCCAUAACAAAGCAUCAUCUCUUAAUAACUCAAAGUGGUCAGGCAUGAAUACGGUUAAAAGGAGGAGGAUCAACUGAAGGAGACCUUACCGCCGGCUAAGAGAGAGGUGAAUCAUUGCUUCGGCUGUCAAAGGAAGGUAGGAUUGACCAGUUCUCGAUGCCGGUACGGCGAAUUAUUAUGCGGUGAAAUCGAUACUUCGAUCGUCAUGAUUGUAGCUACAACUACAAAACCGCCGACCGAGAAGCGAUCGCGAGGGAGAAUUUGAUCGUGAAUGCAGCAAAAAUCAUUAAAGUUUGAAAGGAAAACACGAAAAACACAUCCUUUUUACUUUUAAAAUCAAAUUUCAAAUGAUGAAAACUAGAGCGAGAUCGAGUCGAUCUCCGUAACUGCUGCUGCUGUUAUUAUGAGUUUGAGGAGGAGAUAUUGUAGCAGCUGGAGGUGCAAUAACGGAUUAGCCCCAGUGAAAGGAAAAGGUUACUGAGGAAGAGUUUUCUUUUAGUGAUCACAAUUUCCUCAAACUUCGGUUUCAUAUUAAAAAUUUAUAUUGACAUUUGGAUUGCCCAACUUUUUUUUUCCUUUCAUGGUUUUAUACUUGCCGUGAAUUACAAAUUAUCUCAUGAUUUUAUUUGUAUGUGUCAGUUACUUGCACAGGUUCCACCAGAAAAAUCAAACUUUAUUCACACUAAAUAUUUAUUAAAUAAGGUAUAUAGGACAUUAACCAAUUAUAUUAGCAUUUUUAGUUGUCCCUCGAAAUUCAAUACACUGUCUGGUAGCCUCAUGAUAUUGUCAAAUCAUAUAUUUUAUGUGAAUUUUGAUUUUUCCAUUUCUAUGUAAAAGACAAAUAUUUUCUAAUAUUUCUAACCCUCUUUAAUAUUAACCGUUUUUCGCAUGAAGUGUUUAUAUUUUCAGCAGGAUAGCAAGUGUAUAACUGAUUCAUCCAACAAAUUCCCAUAAUAUUUUACUUUCUAGGUGAUAAGAUUGGCUUAAGAAGCACCAAAUCAGAUAAAGUAUUCCAAAAAAGAUAAACACGUCAAAUUAGAAUAUUUCAAAAAGUACAUACCAGCCGGCAACAUCUUCCAAGCUUUGUAGCAUUGUCUUUAUACCUUGUUAGCAUCACAAUUACAUCAGAACGAAGAAAUAUUUUCAUUAACUAAUGGAACCAAUCAGCUAGCUGAAACUCACCAGUUUUGCGCAUAAGCCACCUAUCGCUGAUGCGCUGCUAGUAUAGGCUCCAUGCUUAUUCGAUUUUUCCUGUCAAACAAAGACAGAGCGGCCAAACGUCUACAACACAACUUUGAUACUGUAACAACCUCUUGCUACUUGCACGUUAUAAAUUAUACAUCUCUCAAGAAAGCAAUAUCUUUAACCUGGAGAAGAUUACAUUCUAACAAUGAAUAAGAAAUUUGUCAUACAAAAUUACUUUAGUAGCAGGGAUAUUUUUGGCAAGCAUCUGCAAGUGCUAUGCAACUGCAGUGUCAAUAUUUUACAAAACGAAAAUGUCAUCACAAUAAAGAGUGAAAAUAAAUACAAUAGUUCUUAACAUGUAUAAUUUUUUAGCUUUUAGAAAAAAUAAAAUUACGUAAUUCUUGUGGCCCAGUCUUGUUAUUUAGGUGGCAUCACACGCAUAUAUAUAAACCAUCAAUUAAGUCACCUUGAAUUUUGUAAAAGAAAAACAAACUUGGAAAUUACUGAAUGUAGGGCCUAUUGAUAUAAUCUAAAGUGCAAACUGUGUAAUCCUCAAAUACCUAAUUUUCAAGUAUAAAGGAAAAUUGUAUAUAAUUAUAAACUAUUAAUUUAAAUUAAAUGCUAUAAGUAUAUUUUGAUCUAAUUGUAUCCUAUAGCAAACUAUAGCUAUUUUCGUCACUCUCCUUGGUGGAAUCUCGCUCGUCACUCUCGUUUGGUGGCAGUCUCGCUCGCCUCUCUCGCUUUUUAUACAAACACAAAUGUAUAAAAUGUGUCUGUGUUUGUAUAAAGCGAGAGAAAAUUGUAUAAAUACAUAUAUUUUCAUUCCCCUCUCCCAGAUAUCGCUCGUCACUCUUCCUAAUCUCGCUUGUCACUCUCACCUCUCUCGCUUAUACAAACAGAAAAAAUAUAUAUAAACAGCAUAUCUGUUUGUAUAGAGCAAGAGAAAAUUGUAUAUACACAUGUAAAUAUAUAUAUUUUCAUCCUAUACACUUAUAAUUAUACAAUAAAAAUACUCCCCUACCCAGUUUCUUUUGCCUUUCUCUCUUUCUCGUUUUAUACAAUUCGAUUCAAUUGUAUAUUCCCUGCCCAAGUCUCUUUUAACAUUUCUCUAUUUCUCAUUUUUUAUAAAUUCAAAUUGUAUAUAAUCGUCCUAUACAAUUUUAAUUAUACAAUACAAAUAUUUUCCUGCUCAAGUCUCUUUUGCCUUUCUCUCUUUCUCGUUUUAUACAAAUUCAAAUUGCAUAUAAUUUAUCUCUUUCUCGUUUUAUACAAUUCCUUCAAUUGUAUAUGUAUAGCGAAUUAUACAUAUAUAUGUUUUCUAUGGAGCGCAAUUAUGUAAACUUUGCUAUAGCAUACAAAUAUGAAUUUUGUGUUUGCUACAUGUGAAAGUUGCCCUAACAAAAAUGCCUUUAAGACGCAUCUUGUGAACAAAAGGAAUAUCGUCAAAUUCCACUUAAAUCUCCUUAACAGAAAUACCUCAGACGUUUAAAUUUUUGACACAUUUACUUUAGAAUAAAUUCGAACAAUGAUAAAGAAAUUUAAUCUUACAAAAUGACAUCUGAGUCGAUCUUUCCUCAAUGUUGCAUGUUGCUCGCAAUUAUCAACUUUUACAAUAUGUAACUUUUUUUAUAUCAGGAGGAGGGGAAUUUUUUUUUUGAGAACUAUUUCUCCUUUAGAUGUGAAAUAGACAGUGUCGCUGGAAAAGAAAAUAAAAAUAGAUAAAUCAGAUAGAUUAUGAAAGUGAGGAGCGACGCAUAGAAAAUCAGACUCUAAUCUUUCUGGUGCCAGCUUAUAACAACGCAUAGAAAAUCAGUCUGUAAUCUUUCUGGUGCCAGCUUAUAACAACGCAUAGAAAAUCAGUCUGUAAUCUUUCUGGUGCCACCCUAUAAGUUAUAACACACUGAAAUUUUGAUUUGAAACCAAUUGAACUAACUUAAUAUCAUAGCAUCAAGAAACAUUGUAGCAGCAUUCCAAAAAUAGCAGCAGGAGUGACUUUAAGUGUAGUAAAAAUAGCAGGAAGUACGAAAUAAAUUUUGCUGAUGCUGAUUUAAAUUUCUAACUUAUGUGUUAAAUGAAAAAUCUUAUGAUUUUACAUCAAAAUUUAACUUAAAAAUCAGACUAUGAUAUAGAGUCAUGUCUUUCAAUAGUGAUUUAUAUACCCCCAAUCAAAUCCACUUUCCUAAUUUGUUUUCAUGAACCAAUGUUAAAAAGUGGAAUUAUUUGAUGUUACACUGUAUAUAAUCAAGACUAUGCACAAAAAGACAUGUAUCUUUUUUAUUAGAAAAGAUAAGACUUUCUAAAUAUGUCAAUGUAUGAAAACUAAAUCACAUUAGUGACAUUUGUGAGUCUUGUUUUUUAUUUUUAAAACUGUGUUUGACUUGUUUGAGAUUGAAGCGUAGUUAUUAUGUUAGCAAUUGACAAGAAUGGUGGAAAAAAUAUCAAUUGAGGAUGUGAUGAAAGUACUAAUUGCUUCAAGAAAACAAGACAUGCCCCAAGUACUUUGGACUACUUGUUCUCAUUUGGUUGCAAAAUCAGGCCUUCCACCUGAAAUCGUAGCCAAACACCUUCCUAUCGACGUUGUCGCAAAAAUCGAGGAAAUUUGCCUAAAAACUUCAUUAGUGCGAAAAUCCUUGAUCUCUCACCAUCACCAAUACCAUCACCAGCACGACCUAAUUUCGGCCUCGGAGCUCGAGGACCAAAAAUUCAACGAAUGAGACAAGCCCUAGACUCAUCCGACGUGGAAUUAGUCAAACUUAUGGUCAGGGAGAAGGACUAUCUCGAUGAAUCGAUCACGUUACACUACGCGGUUGAAAAUUGUAGCUGGGAGGUUGUGAAAGCGUUACUCGAGCUCGGUGCAGCCAACGUGAACCACCCGGUUGGUCCAGCUGGCAAACCCCCCUCCACAUUGCAUCCGAAAUGCUGUUCCCCGACAUGGUGGUAGUCCUACUAGACCACCAUGCGGAUCCAAAUGACAAAACGAUGGAUGGGAUCACUCCACUCGACAUUCUAAGAGCCCUAAAUUCCGAUCUUUUAUUCAAAGGAGUGAUCCCUUGUCUAACUCAUAUCGAACCAAAUAAACUACGUCUAUGUCUUGAGUUAGUUCAGUCCGCAGCUAUGGUAAUUUCACGAGAGGAAGAAAAUACAAACAACGAUCCAUCUUCCACCGCGAUAUCUCAACCUAUAAACAACGAAGAUCAUGGUUCUAGCACGAGCAACACGACCAAUGUGGGAGGUAAUAACCUCAAUCUAGACUCGAGGAUGGUGUAUCUGAAUCUAGGUUCUAGUACUUUGAUUGCACAACAAAUAGGGUGCAACAGAAUGACGAACGAUGAUAUCAUGAUAAUAGUCACAAUAAACAAAAUUCAUGGUGGAUUUGACCCAUCGUCGAUGCAUCAUCCAUAUUUAUGAUGAUUAUUUUCUAUCUUUUGCUUAUCUAUGAUCAUUAUGAAACAAAAAUAGGAAUGGUAAAUUAAAUAUUAUAUAUGAUGGUCAAGUAAUCUCAUGGGAAUAUUAUUAAUUACUCAAAAUUGCAUUAGUACUAUGUUUCUUCUCAAACCUUUCAUCAUCUUUCUCUUACCAUAUAUAUAUAUAUAUAUAUAUAUAUAUAUAGUUAGUUAUGUUGUGCGGAAUUUGAGAUAAUACGAGAAAAUAUAAACGCGAAAAACAAGACAACAGAUUUACGUGGUUCACCAAUAAAUUGGCUACGUCCACGGGAAGAGAGGGAGCAGUUUUAUUAUGGAGAGGCAAAAACAGAAUUACAGAAUAGGGUUUGCCAUAGCGUCUAUAUAUAGUGCUAAGCUACGCCCUAACAGGCUUGGGCCCAACAUACAGAAUCAACAGAAAAUAAAGGGCCCAAUACAACAACAUUGUAUACCGUCGGGCCGGGGGCGUCUCCGCCCCCCCGGACCCCCAGGCCAGGGGGCGCGUCGCCCCCCUGGACCCCCCGACUCGCUGACCGGGCAGCGAGACCCCCGUCCUUUCUGUUUGUAGCGGGUUUGAUUCAAGGCAUUCAACAAGUUAGUUAGAAUUUUACGAGUCAACUAAGUUUUGUUAUAUACAUUUGAAAUAUAUAUAGUUAGUUAGUUAGAAUUUUACGAGUCAACUAAGUUUUGUUAUAUACAUUUGAAUUGUUAAUUAUAUUACUUUUUAAAUAUAAUUUGUAGAUGUACUAAUUUAUUUCGAAAAGCUUAAAGCUCUUCUCUUUGAAUUCAUGAUCAAAAUAUGUGUCAAAUAAAUUGAAAUAAGAUGAAUGUAACAAAGUUGUGUUUGCUUUAACAUAUUGAAAUUAAAUUAAAAUUAUAACCUGAAUAAUUUAUCUUUAUCUUCUAUAUGGAAUGAAGUUAUAUUCAUAUUUUCAUAUUUAAAUAACAUAUCAUUUUUAACUAUUAAUAUAUGCAUAAUUCUAAUCAAAUCGUAUGAUAAAUUUGAUCUGAUAAUACAAUGGGCAUUUAGCGGUGGAAAUGAUUUUUAAAAAAUUAAUAGACAAAAAAGAAUCUAAGUUUUCAAUUUGCGUUUGAUGAUAAUCAAGGGACGCAGGCCGAAUUUUCCACCAACUAAUGGCCUGUCAACUCUUUUAGUUUAAUAUUAAAUUAAUUCUUUUAAAUAUUUAUAUUAAAUGAAUUAUAUUUUUUUUGUUAUGAAACAAUAUAAUGUGGAUGUCCACUACUCUAAAAAGUUAUUACAUAACCUUCUCAAUUAUGAAGAUAAUCAUAAUCUCCAUAACCUGCAACUUAUAACUAUUACUCUUGUAAAAUUUUCUUUCUAUAAUCUCCAUCAUUAUAUUCAUGUUAAUGUCAUAUUUAUGACUAACCUUUUGUAUGCCUCUAUGCUACACUAUAAAUAGAGGCAUAAGAGUUCAUGUUGUAGGCACUUGAAGAUUUGAUGAAUAAGAAAUGCUCUCAUCUUUUGUCUCCAUAUUUCUAUUGCUUUAUAUUUUAUAUUCCUUGACUUAUUUUGCUUUAGUUUUACAAAACGUUAUCAGCACUAGUUGCUCAUUCUCCGUCAAAAAUCAAUGAUAGGUAUAUCUUGAUUUUUUUAUGAAUUAUCCUAGUAAUUCUUCUUGCAAAGUAUAAUUCAUAUUAUAUAUAGUAUUAUUUAUACUAACAAAGUCUGUUUCGUGGUUAUUUGAAAGUGGUGAGUAAAUUAUGAUAAUCUUCAUAACAACAUUGACAGGAACUAUUUAAAUGUUUUAAUUUAUUUUAAUUUGGGGCUUCUAUAUGGUUCCAACAUGUUGCUCUAAUUAAUAGUUUUGUUCAUUUUUAUUCAAUUUUAAGUCAAAUUGAGAUUAUAUUUAUGAUAUUUAAUAUUUACUAUUUUUGAUAAUGUAUUUGAUUUAUAAGAUAUUGGAUGAGAGUAAGACGGUGAAUUCAGUUUUCACCGCACCAAGUGGGUAAGACAUCGAGUAAAGUCUCGAUGCACCUAGAUAAUAAGAAGUUGGGUUCAAGUCCCAUCAGUUUAUGACCAAUAUGAGUAAGACAUUAGGUUUAAGUCCUAAUGCACUAUAAUGAUGACUAACACAAAGUUGUAUAGUUUUGACUGAAAGUCAUAAAAUUUACCUAAUUAAUUUGCUCCAUUCUCUUAUAUGAAUAUGGUAGCAGUGCAUAAUAUGUCUGAAAAAUGACAAAUGAUUGAAUGUAUGUAUAUGGAUGUAGUAAAAUGUUAAUGGUCAUCAUUUUAGUAAUAAAAGGAAGAACAUGGUGUGUUCUUAAGAUGAUCCUUCAAAUGUAAAGGUAAUUUUAUCCAUCAAAGUGGUAUAAAAGGUUAUUGACCACAUUGUUGUUGAUGUAACCCAAUUUGGAAAGUUUUUUAAAUUCACCAUAAAAUAAAGGAAUAAAAUGUGGUAGAUUUGGUACAUUUAACCUCUUAAAGUGAUGUUGAGGUGAGUCACAUAAAGCCAAAACAUGACAAUGAGUUUCUAAUAAAAAUUUAUACAAAUGUACAAAUGCUUAUGGUCUAUCUCUCGAAGAAAAUGUGACUGGUGUUUGUAUAUAUAAGAACAUGUUCAUGUAUUGUUGUAUGAAUGUCACAUCUCACCUCUACGGGGGGUUUGAGAGAUUGAAAGAAAAUCUUUUGACAUAAAUGGUCAUUUUGGUCAUAUAUAUACUUUGAGUACUAUACAAAUAUUGUGGUGUGUUUUAUAAUGAACUAUUGGAGGACAAAAGAAAGAAAAAAACCUUUUAUGUAAAGGUUGUGACCAUGAUCAAAAUAAAUGUUUUUGUGUGACAACACAAAUUUGUCAUAGGUUAUCAAGGAAUAAGUCUUGAAUGUAAUAAUUUUAACAAUGACAAUAAUAAUAAUUUUUUGGUUACCAUAAGGAUGGAGUUGUGAAAAUUGUGGUAGUAGAUAAAAUUAAUUGAUAGUUUUGAAAGGGAUAAUUUGUUACUAUCUGGAGGAAUGAAAUUAUUCAUAAUAUUGGGGUUGUAGUAAGUCUCGAAAGAAACUUUUUAAAUUUUGGAAGAAUUGAAACAAAUAUUAUAUUGAGACUAUAAAUUAUGGAAAUAUUUAAUAUCUUCAAAUUACUGCAAUCAAAGUGGGUAAUAAAUAUUUACGUAUAAAAUUAUCCAUUUUUUCCCGUUGUUUGUUAUAUACAAAUAUGAGUAUGGUAAUGGAAUCACAUGUAAAUGUAAACUAGAAGUUUACUUGAAUAAAUAUCAGUCGGCAUAAUAUGUUGGUCAUUCCGAUUCAAUUGUGAUGCAAAAGAAAAUGAGAAUUCACGUGCCUAUAUGUUGAAGAAAUAAAAUAUUUUUCAAGAAUUCUCUUUUGUAGCUUGUUCUCGUGAUAAAAUGAUCAUUGUACUAGCUAAGGUUGGGAAUGUAUCCCCUCACCUACCUUGUAGACUGUUAACUAUUAUUAUUUAAUAGAUGUAUCUAUGGUAUGGUCAUAUGUGCAUUUGUAUCAACUUACAAAUUAAUUUUUGUAAGGUUGUUUGCUCGAAUUAUCAAAUUAAGAGCACGGUUUCAAACUAUAAAGGUUGGUUUAGCAGAAAUUGUAUAUAAUUUUGUAUGAGAUGAGUUUAUUUAAUAUGUAUGCAUCAAGCCAACAAGAUUCUCCCAACACAAUUGGUUCACGGUCAAGAACCAAAUAAUUUCCAUCUAAAAUUUUUGAUGUGUGCACAUAUGAUUUUAUUGCUUCACCACGCACAAAGAUGAAUCCCCAAUUGAGAUUGAGGGUGAAUGUUAGAUAUCCUAACAUUAGGGGGAGAUAUGUGUAGCAGCUGAAAAUUAUGUGUGGCAUGAAUUAUCUAGAUCUUCGUUAAAAAAACUUGAAGUUCAAGAGAUAAUUUAUUUGCAAAAUGUUGCAAGUAAUUCGCCAGAUGUUUUUGCUGACCAACAUUUUAAUUAAGUUGUAAAUGCUCCAAUAAAUAGUCCUUGAAGCACAGGGUCUAUGGUACGCCAGAAGCAUGAUAAACCAAUUGAUUCCAAAUGUAAAACUCCAUAAGAAAGGAGAUGAGCAAAUUAUCAAAAUGGUCAUUGAUAAUGAUGUAUGUACUUUGAAAGAGCACUAUGACAUAACACUUCAUAAAACCUUGGCAAAGAUUCAGGUACCUAAAAAUGAUGAAAAAUGAAGAGAUCUCGAUAAAUUAUGUCGUAUUAAAAUCGAUAUCAAAAUGACCGUCAACGGUAUAUUUGAUAUGAAAUAACACUCAAUGCUAUAAAUGGUUACGAAGAUUUUAAAUUUGAAUCUGUCACAUAGUGUGCACAGAUAAAUGAUUAGCCAAAUAAAAUGCACUAUUUAAAUAAAUUUUGUUUCACUUAUUAAAAUGAUGUUUUUGAACUUAUAGUUCAUAGAUCAAAAUAUAUGUCAGUGGGGUACAAAUGAAUCAUUGUGCGAAAGUAUAACCAUAAGAUAUGAAGUACGACUUGUGCUUCGGAGCAUAAAGAAUUUUUGCAAAAAUCCUGACAUUAUUAAAUGGAGAUACAUUCUCUAGUGGUGGAUGCAAUAAGACUUAUUGUUUCACUCUAGCAAUAGAUGAAAUACUUGAAUAUGCAUAAUGAUUGAUUAUUACGUCUAACUAGACGAUGAAGGUUAUAUGAAAAUUCUUGAAGGAUUUAAAAGGCUUAAAGCAAUUCCAUUGAAUACCCAAUCGUUUUGAGAUUUCUUAACACAAAGAAAGAAUCUUUUCAGCCUCAUGAAAAUGAUUUAUAAUAGCAUGUAUUGGUGCAAUUACAUAUUACUGGUUAUGUAAAUGCUAGAAGAUUUGUGAUUUUCUUUAUGGAGAAAAGAUGAGCUUUUAUAAAAUUGAUCAAUCUCUCAUGAGUCAAAAAUGAUUUGAUUGUGUAGAUGCAAAAUAUUCAUUUAAUCUACACAAAGCUCGAUCGCAAAUGAGCCAUUUGCUUAUAUAUGGAGGCACAAAAAUAUUUCGGCAUUCAACUAACAUUGGUAACCACUUCUUCAAAUCCUGCAGAAAUAUUACUGAUCUAUGAAGUAAGUUGGGGUGUGUUUUAUUGAAAUCAUGAUCUAUCAUAUUUAGAACAUAUGUGAUUUUUCAGCCACCAUAUACAACAAUAAUAUAUUGCUCAAUUGAAGGGAGAAUAUAAUCAAAACAGAUCGAACAAAGUAUAGUUCACCAAAAGUCUUUCACACAUGGUCUUCAACAAAUUGGUGAGAUAGACGUUCAAAGGUUUAUUCAAGUGAUAAUAUUGUAAACUUAUUCACUAAAGAUUGCCAACAUCAAUAUUUGGGAAGUUGUGAUACAAGAUUGGAAUGCAUUGUUUUCGAGAUAUCAAGUGAAGCUUUUAUCAGGGGGAGAAAAAUACAUGUUGCUCUCUUUUCCUUAAUCAUGGUUUUGUCCCCAUUGGAUUUUCAUGGUAAGAUUUUUAACGAGGCAACAUUCAAAGCGUAUUAAAAGAUAUGUGUAUCUUUUUCCUUCGCUAGGAUUUUUUCUCACAGGGUUUUUUUCCUAAUAAAGUCUUAACGAGGCAUAUUAUCUAUGGACAUUCAAGGGGGAGUGUUAUAAAAUAAUAUAAUUUGAAUGUCCACUACUCGAAGAAGUUACUACAUAACCUCCUCAAUUAUGUAGAUAAUCAUAACCUCCAUAACCUCCAACUUAUAAACAUUACUCUUGUAACAUAUUCCAUUCAUAACCUUCCUCAUCAUAUUCAUGUUAAUGUCAUGUUUAUGACUGACCUUUUGUAUGCCUCUAUGCUACACUAUAAAUAGAGGCAUAAGAGUUCAUAUUGUAGGCACUUGAAAAUUUGAUGAAUAAGAAACAUUCUCAUUUUUUGUCUCUUUAUUUCUAUUGCUUUAUAUAUAUUUCUUUUCUUAUUUUGAUUUAGUUACAACAUUUUUAAAUAUUUAUGUCAUGGACUAUUUUCUGCAACCAAUAAUUUUCUUGUCUCCAGAACCCACCGCCUGAUUUCCAUCUUGCAGUUUUUGUCUCAAAUUAAAUAUUAUAUUAAUUGAAGUCGUAGCAUUUAAUAUAUAUAUAUAUAUAUAUAUAUAUAUUGAAAGAAAAGUGCAAGUUUUUUUUUGGGUGUGUAAAUUUAUACCUUUUAAAAGUUUUAAUUUAAAAGUUUCAAAAAUAAAUUAAAUACGAAAUAGCUGAUUAAACAAUGAAAAUUUUAAAGUUUUUUUUUAUCCACGAGAGACUGAAGUUUCAUAACAUGUUUGAUGUUCGAGUUAUAGAAUUUUAUUUACUUUCAGAAAUAAAAUUAUAGAGAUUCAAAAUAUAGUUUUCACUAAGAAAGAACGAUAGAUUGUUUUGAAAUUUUCCAAAAAAUAAUACAUAUACAUGUGUCAUAAUUUUAUUUAUCGAUUGAUAUUUAUUAAAUAUUAAAUCAAUACAAAAUAUUGUGUCAUGUGACCUUAUUUAAUCUUAUGUUAAAUUAAAUAAUAUGUAUAUUAAAAUUUUUAGAUGACAGAACAUAAUAUCCCAAAAAUAUAACAAACAGUAUCCAUAAACCACUUUUUUUGAAGAAGAAUUUUCUAAUCACAACAUGAUUCGGUUAUGAAAAAAUUGAUUGGCUUGUCUUGCAUGAAUGCAACAUUGAGUGUGACUACACAAAUAAUGGCUAUUAUUAAUAUAAUUUAUUCUGGAUUCAUCUUUGCAAAAUCUAUCCUCUUCUUUGUCUCUUGUUCCCUUUUUCUUUUUUUUUACAAAAAAAAAUCACUUUUUAACUUACAAAAAGUACAAAUGUUUGGUGAAUUAUUUUGCAUGUUAGUUUUCAUGAAUUUAAGGUCAUGCCCUCCAAAGACAUACAAUAAGAAUUUUCUUAUAUAUGAAAAAAAAGAUAACUUGCCAACCCCUGGGCACAUAUGAGAAAUAUGAAAAUAAAUAUAACUUGCCAACCCCUAGACACAUAUGAGAAAUAUUCCACCUUUUAUCGCAUAUAUUGAAGACAAAAUUUAAGUGUAUUUUCUCUGAUCACUUAAAGUUUUUAGAUGAGAUUGUCAUACACUUGAACGUAUUAUGAGGUGUCGUAUCGAAAACAUAAUUAAGUAGAAGUUGAUCAUGUUGUACAAAAUGAUAAUCACACUCAGGAUAAUGUUCAAACUAAAUAGUAAUAGGAAAAGAGUAACAACGAAACCAAAUAUUAAAAUGGAUAAAUAUGAUACCCGAAUAAGUAAUACAAUAAUAUUGAUGAAAAAUUUAGUAGUGUCAAAAGACUACUACUCAACACUCUUUUUGUCACGACCCAAAACGAGCCGCGAGUGGCACCCACACUUAUCCUACUAUGUGAGCGAACCAACCAAUCUAAACCACAACAUUUCAAUCAUAAUAAACAGAAAAAUAAUGCGGAAGACUUUAAACUCAUUAACGAAAUCAAUAAUUAAUUUCUAAAACUCAAACUUAUCAUUAUCCCCAAAAUCUGGAAGUCAUCAUCACAAGAACAUCUAUCCUCAAAUUACUAAGUCUAAGAAUAUCUAAGAAACUAAAAUAACUAAAACGAUAGUCCAUGCCAGAACAUCAAGGCAUCAAGACGUGAAGAAGAAGAUCCAAUCCAAGCUAGAAACAAUAGCUCACCCUGAAAUCUGACGUGAUGAAGACUGGCUAGAGUUGCGGUUGAAUUGAAGACGACGAUAUGGUUGCUGCACUCCACAAUUAACAAAAAGAAAACAUACAAGUAGGGGUCAGUACAAAACACGAGUACUGAGUAGAUAUCAUCGGCCAACUCAAAAUAGAAAACAAUAUAUAUCGAAUAAUAACAUAAAAUCAACUACAAUACUUAACAGGUAGCAAACAACAAACACAUGAACCAUUGACAACAACACCAUAACAGGUACACCAUCAAUUUCAACAUCAAGCAAAGCUAUGAGGACUCAAGCCUCCACACCAUACUCAUUUGGGAAACAGGUUCAUUAAAUUGAGUACAUUAACAUAAUUCGAAAUCAUUUUUUUACUAUCCUGGUGUUGGAACGUGACACUCCGAUCUCCUAAUACUACGUGUCGGUUCGUGACACCCGAUCCAUUAAUACUAUAUGUCGGUUCGUGACACCCGAUCUAUUAAUACUACGUGUCGGUUCGUGACACCCGAUCCCCUAACCUCAUUCCUUUAGUCCAUCAAGCCUUCUUUUAUACCAAGGCAUCAUCAUUAACAAAGAGGUUUUAAGGUUUAAGAUUCAACCGCCUCAUCAUGCUUAAUUUAUCACAAUUAUGAAAUCACAUCAUGCGAGCACACAAUUAAGCAUAUAGAAGACUUUACAAUACUACCCAACACAUAUCAUUCGCUAUUAAGAGUUUACUAUGAAGUAGCAUAAACCAUAACCUACCUCCACCGAAGAAUUCGUGAUCCAGAAAUCUACUUUUCCAAAGCUUUGCUUUCCUCUUCGUUCUCUCCUCUUGAUCGAUCGUUUCUCCCUCUCUCUGUUCUUUUCUAUUUUUCUUAUUCCAACCCUGUUUUUCUUUUACCCUAAUUAGCAUAUAAUUAAGUAUGAAAGAUGACAAAAGUAACCCACUAAUUAAUUCAAGGUUAUCUCUUUUAACCCCCAAGUAAUUGAAUUAUUAACAUUAAACCACUAACUUUAUAAUUAUAAGCAGGAAUAGUCCAAAACGCCCCUUAAAAUAAUAGAAAUCCGACCCCGUUAGGGUUACACAGUCUGUGACGGCCCGUCGUGCCUACGACGGUCCAUCCUGCUGCUUCCGUCACAAAGUCCAGAGAAUCAAUUCAUUAAAGAGUCUGUGACGGUCCGUCGUUCCUACGACGGUCCGUCCUGCCAUGUCGUCGCGAAGUUCAGAGAGUUGUUCUCAGUACCCAAAUUUUUAGAAUCUAAGUGUUUUGGAACGAGACCCCCUCGACGGUCCGUCGUGCCCAUGACGGUCCAUCGUGGGAUCCGUCAACUCAGACAGUUAUUACCAGAAAUAAACUCUACAGCUCAAAACGACUAAACAGGUCGUUACACUUUUAUUUCUUACAACUCACAAUAGUAUUACUUGCACACUAUUUUCUCACAAACUAAGAAGUAGUUUGUGGAUUACUCUCUCUUUCUCUCUAUUGCUUCUCUAUUUUGGUGUGUCUUCAAGUGUUCAAUUACUACUCUAUUUAUAGUACAUCAUUGAUGACAUAAUGUGGUAGCCAAUUUCAACAAAAAUUUGGCUGCCUAACUCUACCAAACUUUGACUACCUACUUCCACAAAUGUGGCUACCAAUUUUCACAUUGGUGGCUACCAAUUUUCACAUUUGUGGCUUGUAAUUUCAACAAGUAUGGCUACCAAAUUAAUUGUUGCCAAGAUUUAUUAUCACAAAUCUCUCUCUUAAUUUUUGUUUUUUCUUCUUUACUCCAAGGCUUGAUCUCAAUCUCUGAAAAUCUUCAAAUUUGAGAGGCUUUGUAAAGAUAUUCACAACUUGAUCAUGAGAUUUCACAUACAUGAGCUCUACCUCUUUCUUGGCAAUGCAUUCUCGGAUAAAGUGAUACUUUGUGUCUAUGUGCUUGCUUCGAUCAUGGUACACUGAAUUCUUUGCUAGUGGUUGCGCAGAUUUGUUAUCAACACAAAUCAUUGUUGCUUCAACUUGUGGCAAAUUGAGUUCCUUCAACAAUCUUCUCAACCAAAUAGCAUGACAUGUACAUGAUGUCGCAGCCACAUAUUCAGCUUCACAAGUCGAGAGAGUAACAAUUGAUUGUUUCUUUGAACUCCAAGAAAUAACACAAUCACCCAAGAAAAAUAGAAAACCAGAUGUGCUUUUUCUAUCAUCAACAUCUCCCGCAUAAUCACUAUCACAAUAUCCCUCAAGAUUAAAAUUAUCAGAAGAAAAAUAAAAUAGCCCAAGGUCGAUUGUACCUUUUAGGUAGCAAAGAAUUAUAUUAGCGACCUUUAAGUGAGUGGAGGUAAGAGCUUUCAUGAAGCGACUUACUACUCCAACUGCAAAAAGUAUAUGUGGUCUCGUACAUGUCAAGUAACUCAGACUUCCUACGAGACUUUUGAACAAAGUGGAAUCCUUUUUUUCUCCAUCGUCAGACUUUGACAAUUUUAUUCCACUUUCUUAUUUGGGUGUUCACAGGGUUGCAAUCAAACAUGUUGAACUUCUUAAAAUCUCAUUUUUAUAGUUUUCUUGAGAUAUGAAGAUGCCUUCUUCCAUUUGCUUCACUUCUAGGCAUAAUUAAUAUGACAUGAGCCCUAUGUCCGUCAUCUCUAACUCAAGGGACAUCUUUCUUGAAGGCUUUAAAUAAAAUUGGGUUGUUACCCGUUAGAAUGAGAUCAUCAACAUAAAGACAAACAAGCAGAAUAUCUCCAUUAGUAUGGAAUUUAAUGUAAAAAGCAAAUUCAAAGAGACAACGAGUAAACCCAUUGUCUUGAAAGUAUUUGUCAAUGCAACUACUCCAAGCUCGUGGAGCUUGCUUCAACCCAUAUAAGGCUUUCUUCAAGCCCAACACCUUAUCUACAUGAUUUUUAACCACAAAACCAAAUGGUUUCUCAAAAUAGACUUCUUCUUCAAGAGAAUGUCGAUUUGUCAUUUAGUUGAUGGAUCUUCCACCUCAUUUGCGCCGCUAAAGAUAUCAAUAGACGGAUUGUCUCCAUGCGGGCAACAGGCGCAUAGACUUCCUCAUAGUUGAUGGCAUGACUUUAUUUGUAGACUUUAGCCACAAUUCUUGCCUUGUAUCUUUCUACUUCUCCAUGGGCAUUUUUCUUCGUCUUGUAUACCCAUUUGACUCCAAUUGCUCGAUUGUCCUUGGGAAGAGUUGUCAACUCCUGUAAGACCCCAAAAUGAGAUAGGUUUAGAGAAUAAAAAGUUUGUGUUAAGGUUAUAAGGUCAUAAAAUCACUUAUAAUAUGGUUUAGAGGCAGUGUGUAAAGUUUGAAGUGAUUUGGAAGUUGAACGUCAAGGGAUGACUAGAACAUUCGACGACUAGUCGCCUAUGUGCCUCAUAUGCCCAUCUAUGUUUAUAUAAUGUGUGUCAUGAGAUUAUUAAGCCUUAAAAUGAGUAAUAAUUAUUUUAAAUAUGGUAUAUGAAGUUUUGAGAAGUUUGGAGGUCAAACGACCAAGAACGUCCAAGGCGUUCGAAAGAUAGCCCUUAAGACGCUCAACUUGUGUCCUGAUGGGGCCUAGCCUGUUUGUACAAGUUGCAGGUGUUUGAUUUGGGUGAAACUUAUGUGGAAGGUAUCAAACUUUUUAAGGGUUUUAUUUACGUUAUAAACGUCCGGGUACGACUUCUAAAGGGCCCCGUAAAAGGACCAACAAGAAGGACCCAAGGCUGGUCGAGACACUUGGCAGUGUCAAUCGACGGACCAAACGAUGGCCAGUUGGUCAACCAACGGCCUGUAAGUGAGGUCUCGUCGAUUGGUACUUAACUUGUUCAGGCCUCAAGCCAAAAUUUGGCCAAGGAUCAAACGACGGAAGCCAAUGCACGGCCAGUCGACUGAUCAACGGCCAGUAGAUGGCUCCGUCGAUGGUGGCCUGUAAGUUACUGUCUGCGUCUGUUUUAAUUAAAAGGUGAAUGGAAAAUUCACCCACGUCCUAACCUGAUUCUAAUAGGAUUAUUUAGCUACUUUUAGGUGUAUAUAAGGGAGUAAAAACGUGAUCAACCCCACUCCCAAUACAAUUCACCAAAUUAGAUUUUUCCCUCCAAAAAUUUUCUCUCUAGAAACUCCAUUAUUGGUGAAGCUCAAGAACAACUUGGAGAUUGGAUUUCCAUGGAUGAAUCAUCAAGUUUUAGAGAUUUUAAUGUAGAUAAAGGUAUGGUGAUCCUUAAUCUCUCAUUAUCCUUCCAUCUAGAGAGUUAAUCUCAAAAUUUUUAAAGAGAAAAAUAUGAUCAAGUGCUUCUUCUUCUUCAUUCUAGCCAUGAGUUCUUUAUUAAAUUGAUUUAAAAAUUAUAAUAUGAAUGUUUUGAUGAUUAUCCACUGAUUUUGAUGUGAUUUUCAAUCCGGUUGCAUGAUGAACCCAUGCAUCUUUCACAAACUCAAUUUUAGCCUAUGUAUGACUUUAUCUUGAUCUUAUGCAUGUCGAUUUUUUAUUCAAUUAUGUUAAUAUGAUUAUGUAUACUGUUUUUCAUGUAUAUUUAUGGUGAAUUAUUGAUUAAUAAUCCAUGUGAAUCCAUGCAUGAAGAUUUGAACAAAUAGCUGAUGUUCUAUGUGUUCACUGUAAAGUUGGUCUUUUGAUGAUUUAAUGGGGAAUUAGAUUGUUCAGGGCUGGUUGUAUCUACUGUCUUAAUUGGAUAUUAUGUAUAAACUAUAAAUAAGUGAUUUCAUGUUGAUCAAUGUUGGUUAGCCUAUGAUUCUUCUACUCUCCAUGGAUGUCUUAAAUAACAAGUUCAUUGUAAUCUAAAUGUUAUAGCAAUGAUAGUAGAAUUUCCUGUAUAUUAUAUUUUCAUUAUAUACUAUAUUGAUGAUAUUAAUAUAUUGGGGGUAUAAAUUCUUGAUUAUCAAAUAAAAGGAAUCUUGGCAUGAAUUGAUCUAGGUUCUUCUAGUCUACAAGUUGAAUGUUGUAAUGAACAUUAUGUGAUCUCAACUCUAGGGUAGAUGAAGCAUGAUUUAGAUUUGAUUUAUAUAUUUUUGGCUACUGCCAUAAAUGUAUAUUAUUGGUACAUGAUGAAUGAUGAACUAAAUUAUGGACGUUAGUUGAUGACCUAGGACUCUCUACUUCCUAGUACAUGUGAGAUGCCUUGUAUUAUGUUAUAGUAUGAUCUUGUAGCGACUUUUACAUGAUUUAUUUUAUGAUUAAAGUACAUUUAUCUACUGCCCUACAUAUGAAUUAUUGAUGAACAAGUUGCAUUGAUCAAUGAUGAUCAAAGGGUGAGAAAUUGAUAAGAAUGCUUAUCUCUUCUACUUUUCUUAUAAUAUUGUAGUUGAUGAAGCCUUGUAUGACAUUGUGUGGCAUGGUCCAUGAUACACUCAAACUUACUUCUCAAAUAAGAAGUAAAAUAGUCGUGUCAAUUAAAUAACCCAACUAGUGAGGUUGGGAUCGUUCCCACGAGGAAAAUAGUCUAUACUUAACUUCAAUCUAUUAUUACUAUUGUUCAAUCAAUGACUUCCUUGGAAACUAAAAACAAUAAAAGUGGGGUUUCUAUUUCUAAAUGAAAAAAAUAACUGACACAAUUGAAAGAGACACUUAACAGCUUUGAAUGUUGGAUUUUAAUCAAUUAAUCAAAGUAACUAGGGUUUACUUGUUCCCCAUAGGUUCAUAACUUUAUAAUUCUAACUAUAACAAUUCUUUCCUAGUAUCUUGCAUGUAAAGUGAUAAGUUAUGUAUUUCUAAAUCCUUGAUCCAGCAUCUAGAAAAUCUCACUCCGCACCUUGAUCCGGCUACGUGUGUUACUAUCCUAACCCUCAUCUUUACCUCAUAUUAAGUAUCGUAUUCGAUAUUUGACUAAGUUAUUACCUCAUACCAAUCAAUACUAGCCUAUUAGAUAGUAUACACCAAAUCUAUGUUGAUAAUUCUUUUCCUACCUCCUUGGUCCGGCAAGUAGCACUAAGGCGAGUUCUAACGUUGGCCAUCCGUUAAAAAGACUUCUAAGCGAAAGAAUUAUUAAUACAUGCAAGACACUAUUCUAGAAUCGUUAUUUUAGUUAGGUUUUAUCUCAUUAUUUUCCUAUGGUUCCCACAACCCUAAUUAUGGAGUUUAGUUACUCAUAGUCAUAAUCAGAAUAUUCAAAUAUAUUAAAUAAGAAUUCAUGAACUUACUUCAAUGAGAAAGAGUAAAAUCCAAAAGUUUGCCACCAACAAUCACUUGCAAGAAUCUCAAAGUAAUCAACAAUCUCACAAAAAGUCUAAUGAUUCUCAAAAGUCUAACAAUACAGUAUCUAUUAAUAUGAUGUCUAACAAUACGGAGUCUAACCUCAAAAAUGAGGUUUUUCGAACUAUUUAUAGAAAAUAAAAACCUAAUUAAACAAGGACUCUAUUUGCUGGAAAUCUGUCAAAACGCGGCUGGGUCGACGGACCUCGCAACGGAUCGUCGUGGUCACGACGGACCGUCAAGGACUCCGACGUCCCAUACUUAUGCAAUUUCUUCUGCUGCUCUCUUCAUUACCCUCGACGGCAAGUAUGAUGGACCGUCAUAGGCACAACGGUCCGUCGAGGGUCUUCGUUCCAAAACACUUCAACUCUUGGAAUAUAGGUACUGGGAUUACUGACACGACGGACCGUCACAAGCUUCGUAACCCCACACUUGGUCAGACUUCCCCAUCUUCCUUCAGCAGCUGCACUACGCUGCCACCUACGGACCGUCACAAGCUCCGUAGGUGGUCUCUUCUGCAUUUCUUCGCUCAAAAUCUCUGCAUUCAUCUUUGGACAGAUUUCUUGCAAAAUAAAGAGAAACUUAUAUAAACAUUAGUACAAAAAGGCUUUUGGACACACUAAACUUAAGGAAAAAGUAUUAAUAAUACCGUGAAACCACGGUAUAUUAGUCCACUUAUGGUGAUGUAUUUACUUUAUUUUCAAUCUAUAUAUGUGUUGACCAAGGCCAUGAAGGCAAAUUGAUGAAUAUAUGAACAUGUGCCUAUGAUGAUAUUAUGUGAAGAUUAUGCCUACUUUCCUAUUCUAGUUGUGAUGUAGGGUGUAUGGUUAUUUUGUAAGCAUAUGUAUAUCCAUGUUAGGGUAAAGCAUAGGUGCUUCCAUUGAUGAGUAAAAUGUUUAAUAAUCCCUUACCUAUGUACCCCUAUGUGAACGCAUGAAUAGCACAAAUUAGGAGUCUUAAGUGUAAUAUGAAGUUGGCUUGUCUCCUAUGCUAUUGUGUGUUGUGUGGUUUAUGCUUGAAAGAGUAUUAUGGUCUAAGAGGGUCGCUGGCUCAAUAUAUUGUUGAUAGCCAUUAUGUGAUCAUGUUGACCAAUGUACACACAUACUCACUUUACAUGUAUGUUACAAGUAGUAUAGGUCAUGGUGUCUAAAUGAAAGGUAGUUCUCAUAUUCACUAGUGUCUACUACUAUGCAUGUUAAAUCAAUGUUUAUGAAAGCAUGAUAUGUGUUUACUUAGCUAGGAUGACUUGAUAGGCGUACUAGUAUGGGAAAGGGUAUGAGACUUUGCCUAUGCAUUGCACAUGUGUACCAAGAUAGGAUAGUUCUGGUUUUGGUUUCUAUAUGUAUGAAUAUGGUGUAUGAACAUGUGUGUCUUAAUGUGUCAUGUGAAAGGUUUGCUCACAUAUAUGUAUACACACACACAUGUAUGAAGACCUAGUCAACAGAGGGGCCUUGAAUGGUGUGUUCAUGUGUACCCUGAACUAGGUGAUGCUUUACAUAUUCUAUGUUCAUGUAAAGGGAUUCUUUACAUGAUUUAGGUUGAUGAACUUCCAUUUAUGGCCUAUAAGUUAAGCAUAUAAAGGGAUGACUCUCCUAAACCCAUGUUUUAUAAAGUAAAAAUAUAAUAAAGGUUUUCAAUGAAGGGAACUUAUCUUAGCACCGAGUGAACUUGAAUAUGAGUGUGUGUCCCUUCCUAUGGUAGGAAGGAAGGUCACCAUAAAUCUCAUAAGGUUGAUAACUACAAUGCCUCAAUGUGCAUAAAUAGGGUUUCCAUAAGUGAAUAACUACAAUGCCUAAUCUUGGCAUAAAGAGGGUUUUCACAUGUACCUCCAAGUUCCAUAACUAUGUUGCCACCAUAAGAUACUAGCUAGUGGAUCCACCUAGAAAGCUAUGUCACAUUUGGUUCUACUUUGGCCGGUAGAUCACCUCCUUUCGGUGUGGGAUUCUAUGACACCAGAUUUCAUGUUUAGCUACAUGGUCUAUGUCGGUUAAGGCUAUAGUUUCCUUAAUGUAAAAUGGACAAAGGAAGUAAAUGACUAGGACCCUAACUAUAAGGACUUAAGGGAGGUUACUUAGGAUAGGUGGAAGUAAUGAACCCAUCUAGACAUUGCACAAGUAGCUCUUAGGAAGUUCUAGGAAGGUGUUCUAAUGCAUGUCACUAUGUAUGUGUUAUUUAUGCAUGACAUUGUAGUAUUUGUCUACUUCUUAUGAAGAUGUGAAUGAUAUGAGUCUUUAUGCAUUAUGUUGAUCUUGUUGACUAUAUAGUGAAGGUCUUGACUUAACUAUGUCUAUGUUAUAUUAUACUUCUAUGAUGGUGUGUGUUGCCUUGUAUAGAUUGUAUAUAUGUUUUCUUGUGGCUUUAAGGUGAUGCAUUGCACCAAGUAUCACUAGAGGAUUACUUGGGAAGUUAAUGAAUAAAAGGGGAAUUAGUUCAUUGUUAAAGGAAAUGAGCUCACUACAAAGUGGCUCAAAUGUGUAAUAGAUUCGAUAAGUGAUAUUAUGAAAUAUUUGGCCUUUGAAUAUGCUUAUAUGAAGCAUGUGAAUGAUAUAAAUGCUAUUCUUUAAAGGUUUUAUAAAGAUUUGCUAAAAAAGGCAUGAAGUAUGAUUUCAAGAAAAUGUCCCUUUUAAAUGCAUGUUUUUGCAUGGUUGCCAUACUUAGUGCAUUCUUGUACUAAUUCCAUUUUUCUCUACUUUUUACACAAAAUGUAGGUUAUGGAUGCUCAAAACAUGUCUAUAUGAUUAAGGAGCUUGAUAUGUGAUUCUCAAGCUCAAGGAAAGGAAUCCUUAAGUCCAAAAAUUUCCUAUGUUAUGGUUUACUGUAAAGUCUUAAAUAUUGUACUUAUGUCUAUGUUUUAAGGGUCGUGUCCCUAAUGUAUCCUAAUGAUGUUGAGUCUAAUAUGGCAAAGAGACUUAGAGUCUAUAUAUGUAUUAUGACUUAUAUCUUAUAUAUAUAUAUGAAGUGAUGUUUCUAGCAUAUGAUGUGCUAUGAAAAGUUUUAAAUUUUCCGCUAAAUUUAUUAUGUCGAUGCGAUGAAUGAUAACUAUGGGCUUGUAUAAGACCUCUAAGAGGUCAAGUACGCUAUGUUACAUCUAGGGGGUGAUCCUCGGUUGUGACAACUCCCAAGUGUUGUUCUUCUCUAUUGACUGAAUCUCCUCCUCCAUGGCUUGUCUCUACAUGUUGUCAGUAACAACAUCAUCAAAAUUCAUUGGUUCACUAUCAAAAAAAUAGACAACACAAAAAAUCAAAAUUAGUAAUUUCUUCUGUAUCAUCAUAGAGUUCUUGGAUGCUCCUCAUCCUAUGUGGUCUUUCACUUGAACUCUCUUGAGAAGAUGGAGAUGCAACAUUUGCUGGUGAAGGAGGCUGGGUUGCAUCAUUUGCUGGUGUCAUGGUCUCCUGUUCUUCUUCAUCUACGAAGUAUGGAAGAAAAUCAUAUGUUUUUUCUUACGGAGCCUCCCAAUUCCAUGAUGCUUUUUCAUCAAAUUCAACAUCACGACUCACCACCACUUUGUUAUUGCUUGGAUUGUACAAUUUCUAGCCUUAUGAACUUGCGUUAUAGCCAACAAACACAUACUUGACACUCCGAUCGUCAAGUUUAGCUCUCCCUUGAUGUGGAACAUGAGCAUAAGCUAUGCUCCUAAAGAUUCUCAAGUGCUUAACACUUGGCUUUCUUCCGCUCCAUGCUUCUUGAGGUGUUUGAUCUCGUACAUUUUUUGUUGGAGACCUGUUGCUCAAAUAAACUGCACAAGAAACAGCCUCGGCCCAAAAUUCUUUUGGUAGAUGUUUAGAUUUCAACAUACAGCUAGUCAUAUUAAGAAUUAUUAUAUUCUUUCUUUCUGCAACUCCAUUUUAUUGGGGAGAGUAAGAUACCGUUAGAGGGCGACGAAUUCUACGAGAUUGACAAAAGUGAUUAAAUUCUUUUGAUGUGAAUUCGCCUCCUCUAUUGGACCUUAAUGCUUUUAUUUCACCACUUUCUUUUUCUACAAGCUCUUUGAAAUUUUUAAAGGCAACAAAAACUUCAGAUUUUUGCUUCAAGAAGUAUACCCAAGUCUUUCUACUAAAAUCAUCAAUAAAGAGAAAGAAAUAUUUUCUUUUACCAAAAGAAGUUGGAUCGAUUGGACAACACACAUCGGUGUGUACAAGUUGGAGUGACUUACUUGUUCUUGAUGUAGUCUCCUUUGAAAAACUCCUCUUUUCCUGUUUUCCAAGAAUACAAACUUCACACAAUUGAUUUGGAUGGUUAAAUGACGGUAUCCCAUCAACCAUCUUCUUUUCUCCCAUUGAUUUGAGCGCUUCAAAGUUCAAGUGCCCAAAUCUCAUAUGUCAACACCAUGAGUCAUCUUGCAAAUUAGCCUUCAAACGCUUUGCGUCGAUAUUUUGAAGAUUCAAAGGAAACAACUUAUUUUUUGCCAUAUGAACUUUAGCAAUUUAGUUGGUACUUGAAUCUCUUAGCCAAAGAUGCAUAUUUUUCAUAUGAAUAUCAUAUCCUUUUUCAAGAAGUUGACCCAAACUCAAAAUAUUACUUUUCAAUUUUGGCACAUAACAAACAUUGGUAAUCAAUUUAUGACCACCAUCUUUCUAGGAUAUCAUAAUCGUACCUAUCCCUUCGAUUUGGAUCUUUGAGGUAUCUACAAAAAACACAUUACCUUUCAUAGUCUUCUUUAUCUCCACAAAUUUAUCCUGGUAGUCACACAUAUGAUUAUUUGCUCCAUUGUCAACAUACCAUGAGCUGCAAUCAUCUUUAUCUUCUUCUUUGAGUGUAAUAAUAGUGUUGACUCAUUUUCAUCUUUGUUGUUGUCAACAAGAUUAACUUUCUCUUCAACAUUACUACGACAUUUCCAAGAGUAAUGUCCCAUUUUAUGACAGUUAUAACAUUCAAUUUUAGAUUUUUCAUACCUCAUUUCAUUUGUACCUUGAUAGGCUCCACGUCCUCUGCCUCCUCGUUGACCACGAUCACGACCUCUGAAUGACUGGUGACAUUUAUCUUCAUUUUUGAAAUGGUUGGUAUAAUUUCUUCCUCUUCCACAGCCUCCACGACCUCCACGGCCUCGCCAUUGUCCAUUUCCUUUGUAACUUUUCUCACGUUCAAAUCCUUUGAAGGAUACAUGAGUUUUAUGAAGUUGAUCUAUUAACUCUUCUUUUCUCCCUUUCAUUUUCUCUUCAUGGAACCUUCCAAUUGUUCUACCGUCAUAGAGUCUAGAUCUUUAGACUUCUCAAUAGCACACACCACAUAAUCAAAUUUAGGUAUUAAAGAACGAAGUAUCUUUUCUACCGCACGCGCAUCACCUACUUCCUCCCAAUAUCUUCGUAGUUGAUUUACAACAACCAUCAAUCUUGAACAGAACUCCGAAAUGGAUUCAGAUUCUUUCAUUUUAAAAACUUAAAACUCAGCCCGUAGAGUUUGAAUUUGUAUAUUCUUUACUUUAUCAACUCAUUGAAGAGAAUUUUGUGAAAUCUUCAACGCUUCUUUUGAGGUGGUUGCAUCAGUCACCUUCUCAAACAUGUCAUCAUCCAAACAUUGAUGGAUUAGAGUGAGGGCUUGUUGAUCUUUCUUUCUUGUCUUUAACAAUACCUCCUUUUCAUUUGAGGGCAAAGUUUCCUCAUUUGCGGGUUUUGUAUACCCUUUGUCUACAAUAUUCCAAGCAUCUUGAUAGCCAAGAAUAACUUUCAUUCGUAGACAUCAUUUUUCGUAAUUUUCUCUUUUGAGUCGGGGGUAUUGAAAAGACAACGGACUAUUAUUUGUCAUGGCUCUGAUACCACGUUAUUGGACAAAUUGAUAAUCACACCCAGGAUAAUGUCCAACUUAAAUAGCAAUAGGAAGAGAGUAACAACAACGCCAAAUAUUAAAAUGGGUAAAUAUGAUACCCGAAUAAGUAAUACAAUAAUAUUAAUGAAAAACUUGGUAGUGUCAAAAGACUACUACUCAACACUCUUUUAUUUCUUACAACUCACAAUAAUAUUACUUGCACACUAUUUUCUCACAAACUAAGAAGUAGUUUGUGGAUUACUCUCUCUACUCUCUAUUGCUUCUCUAUUUUGGUGUGUCUUCAAGUGUUCAAUUGCUACUCUAUUUAUAGAGUUUUUUUGAACACUUGUUUACAUCAUCAAUGACAUAAUGUGGUAGCAAAUUUCAACAAAAAUUUGGCUGUCUAACUCUACUAAACUUUGACUACCUACUUCCACAAAUGUGGCUACCAACUUUCACAUUGAUGACUAUCAAUUUUCACAUUUGUGACUUGUAAUUUCGACAAGUAUGACUGCCAAAUUAAUUGUUGCCAAGAUUUAUUUCCAUAGAUCAUAGCCUUACAAGUGUUAAAGAUAACUAAAAGUGUGACCUCUAUAACAAUAUGAAAGUUUGACGGAUCUCAUAAUAGAGUAAAAGUAAACGAAAAAGUGACAUCUCUCAGGCUCUCAAAGAAGUAAAAAUACAAAGGAAAUAAUAGACUUUAGCAUAAACUUUUUCCUAUUAAAAUUACACAAAUCAUAAUGAGUCAAUUUCAAGAGUUCUUUUGCAGUGUUGAGAAUACACCUUCAUGGCACAUACAAAAAGUGAAGGAUAAAAUAGCAAAAGAGUCGAAAGAAAAUCAAUUUGCUGAUAUUAACAAAGGUAAAAUAGUGAAGCCGACAGAUAUGUGUUGAUUCUUUCUGUCAGCAAACAUUUGCUGAUAUUAGUUUCUUCAUGUUCUUGACCUGCGGUUUGACAAAAUAAAACACCUGGCGGGAUAUAUUAAAAUGGGAUAAGUUCUCAUCUGAUAGAUGUAGAUGUUGUAGUAGGAGUAAAGUUGGGGUAGUGAUUUUCUUAUUUCUUAGUUUUCUUUAAUCCAGAUGUAGUAAGUCUAGAGAUAGUACUAUUGAGGUUUACUUUGCUUCAAGAAAACUAAUUACUUUGCUUCAAAAGCCCCUGAGAAAACAAAUAAAAGGGAUAAAACUUUGCCAAAUAUUGAUGUUGUAUUUAUUCAGUAAUAAACAUAAACUACAAUGGUUAAGUUGCUAAGCAAUUGAUUGGAAGGGAAGACUACCUAUGGACACCGAUUAGAGACAAAGAUGAGCUCUGUUAAUUUUUUCUUGUGCCAAGUGUUUGCAAGAUUCGAAUUCUUCUCUUUGAGUUUGUGCUUAUUGCUUCUGUGUCUUGCUCACAAUUUAGGGAUUAAAAAAUGUCUCUUCCUCUUUUUUUCUUAUAUGUGUUGCUCACUUCUAGGAGAACGGCUAACAAUUUUUCUUUUUUUUUAUUUAAUAAUGAGAUUCUUAAAAAGUUUUUCUUCAGUCUAGGAAAAAGGAAAUUUCUAUCACUUGCUAAGGUGAUAUCAUUCAUACAUCAGGCUAUUCAAAUAAGAUACAAGCAUUCCUGGAAACUUCAUGGCACUGCGUCAAAUGCUUUGGGAAAAAAAAUGUGCCACCAAAGCUAUAACUUCGUGAAAAAAAUGAGAAAUCACAAAUAUACCUUAAUUUGUUGGUAAUAGAAAAUGAUAACUUCUCUUCUUUCACUUUUCCCCUCUGUUUGGUCUUUGAUCUUUUCUUUUAAAGAUGAAUUUCAAAGAGGCAAUAAUUUUUUUUCUUUUAACUAUGUUAUAAAAUUACAAUGGCUGAUAUAAUCAGCCUGGAAUGCAACAUUUUUAGAUGACUAAAGUCUAAAUAUAUUCAGACACACAUUGCCGGUGUAUCAGAUUGACCAACCAUCUUUCAUGAUGUCCACUUACACUAUAGAUCGGUUCGAUUUAAUUUUGUAUUAUUAAAUUAUUUUAUUGAUAUAUUAAGUUAUCAGUUCGUAAAUUGUAAUAAAUUAAUAAUUAAAUUUAAUAAGAUAAUUAUAAUUUGUUUUCAUUUAUUCGAUUAAUGGUUCUUAAUAAUUUGUUUUUUGCUAUAUGUGAUGAGAUCGAUUUUUUUUCACAUGACACUGGCUUUUCAAAGUUGAAAAUGGAAUUUUAAUUAGUGAAAGAUAUAUGUGAUUUCUGUACUUUGUCCUAUAUAUAAAUGAGUAAAUAAAGAUUGCUGAAGGAUUAUAAGAAACAUUAUUUAUGUUGAAUCCAUCUCAUUGUCUUAGUCAACUUUAGCUAUUCAAUUGGUACAAGCAAUUGUUAAAAAUGAAUAGUAAUUGGAGUUGAAAAGAAAAGAUUUGGUAGUUGGCAAAUUGGUAACAUUUGCAACCAUUUUUGACUUUGCUAUGUUUACAUAUGUCAUUAGUGACAUAGGUAUGGUUUUAUCUUUCUAUAAAUAGAGCAUUCUUGCUCAUUUGUAGAAUACACCAAGUUAGAGAGAAAAACCAUUUUGAGAGCAAAGUGAGGUAUUCCAUAGACUAUAUAAGAAAAUAGUCUGUGAAGAAAAAUAAAGUGUGAGCGAUAUUUUAGUAAGACGGAAACCAAAAGAGUGUUGUUCCUUUUGAGUGUGUAGUAGUCACUUUGAGUGUUGUAUUCGUGAAUACACAGUGUAAAAUUCCUUACUAUAGUAAUAUCAGUUGCUCCUCUUGGCCCGUGGUUUUUUCCCUUAUUCAGAAGGGUUUCCACGUAAAAUUCUUGGUGUCGUUAUUUUCUCAUUUUAUUUCCAUUAAUUUUACCAUAUAUACUUUAGUGCUUGUCCGCGUUUUCCCAACAAUUUAGCUAAAAAAAAAAUUAGUGACGGUUUAGUUAGAGAUUAUUGAUAAGUUUUAUAUUUUUAAUAGUAAUAUUUAUUUGAAAAAUGUAACAAUGAUAAAUAUAACUUUUGUUUAAUUAUAAAAUGAACAAAUAUAACCCUUUCCAUUUCUAAUCCCCUUGACCAACCAUUGCUUUAUUUUAUGGCACUACUUUUUACAAAAAAAAAAAUAAAAAUGGCAUUAUUUGUUUCCAUGACCCCUUUGUAUUAAAUAAAAAAUCAAGGUGAGAGAAUGUGUCGAAAAUUAUGUAUAAUUAAUAAAGUAGUUUCCUUUGUUAGUAUUGCAAUAUUUUUUCUGUUAUUUUUCUAAUUUCAUUGCUAAACACCAACAACAACUUAGAGAAAAGAUGUCUAAACAAUUUUUUAAGUAAUUAAAAUUAAAAUUAUUCUCCUAUUUGUCACAACUAACAAUAUAAAUUUGAUUCCGUAGCAUUUUACAAAUUCUUUUAUUUUAUUUUAUGUUCUUUUAUCAGGUCAAUCUUUAUUUCUUAUAUAUAAAAAAUCUAAAAUAAUUGUUUUCUUUCUAUUCAGCUUACAAAUAGUUAUAAUAGAGUAUUUCCUCGUUAUAUUCUACUCAGUAGAAAAUAGUAUUAAAGGAGUCACGGGGGUCAUGAAUUGCUUAGGAUAACAUUAAUAAGUAGGGUUAAUUAUAAUGCUCAACUAAUAAAAAAUAUCAAUGAAAAAAAUAAAAAUGUGGAUAGAGAUUAACAUAAAUAUAAUAAUUAUGAUUGAAAUAAUUGGUAAUUGGACAUAGUAUCGACGUGUGGUUAAUUAGUACUUUGCUGAGGUAUGUACUGGCUAUUUAAAAUUUUGAAAUUUAUAAUGAAUUGUCAACUUAUAGUAGUUGAAGCAUACUAGUGAUUCAAAAACAUCUAACUUUGCUUAUGAGAAUUUAUAGGUUAACUGCCAUAAAAAUUUAAAAUUGUUUGAUAGACUUAAAAUUUAUCUCAUUAUCGGUAUCAUAUUUUGUCUAUGUGUGAUUGAAUGUGAGGACCAUUGGGUCUAGUUCUGUAAUUCUUAAGGUUUGUCUAUGAAAGUUACUGAUCUAGCAUUUCGAUAGUAUUGUUAAAAGUUUCGUAUUCUUGGAUGUAUUGUUCGACGGAUGGUUACUUGAUCAUUCUCUUGUUUGAGGUUAGAUAAGUUUAAUUUUCCCUUAAAGAGUACCUCAUAUCUAAAGGUCAUUUUUUGUAUAACAUAAGCUCGUGGAAUGUUUAUGUUGUGAGAAUGAAAUAUUCAUAAGAUUUAUAAUGAUUUGUGCAUUAUAAGUGUUUGGUGGUUGAUUUAGGUUCACUUCUGAUUGAAAUCUGUAUUAAUUCAACAUUUUAUCGUGGUUAUGUGAAAAAGAUUCCAUCUAAUGGUUGUUUCAAGGUCCUUGAGAAAAUGUUGCAUAUGUGUGUACAAUUAGCUUUGAUGGCUAUUGAGAAUACAUUGAUUGUUAGUUGAGUUUACGUACAACAAUAGCUACCACUUGAGUGGUAAUAUGACCAUAUUUGAGACAUAGUUUAAGAGAAGAUAUAGCUCCUCUGUUGGUUUGGUUGAUGCAUUUGAGGUAAGACAUUGGGAGACUGAGCAUGAUAUGCACAAAAGAUAUUUACAUAUUUUUGUCGAUUCUUGUAUCAUUUUUUUUACCCUCUCCUUCUUAAGAUCGUUCGAGGACACGAAGGAUGAGAAAAUUGGUAUCUAAUGUAACGACUCAUUUGAUUGUUUUGAGUACUAGAGAUUUUUAUUUGAUAAAAUAUUUUUCGAUAGAUUCUAAAUGGGUGUUUUGGACUAUUUUUAAUUAUAAUUAUAAAUUUAGUGAGAUACUUUCAAUAAUAUAUUUUAUUGGUGGUUAAAGAAAUAACAUUAAAAUUAAUAGUGAGUUACUUUAAUUUUAUCGCUUUUAUAAUUAAGCAUAUAUAAUAAUUAGGGUAAGAUAUUAAUCUGUAAAAAAAAAAAGAAAGAAAAGUAGGCGAGAGAACAAUACCUUACCUGGCGCCGUCUAUCGAAGAAGACCGUUAAGGUUACUGCAAUUUCCUUAAAUAAAUUGUAAAAGAUUAUAGUUACUACUAGAAAGUUGCAUGCUUAUUGGUGGAAUAGGUAGUUUUGUUGUCUCUGAAAAUUAUUGUUUCUUCAUGUAUUAAAGGGCUCCACGUGAUUUUUUUGUUUUGGUUAAAUAUGUUAGAGAUAAAUUUUAAUAGUUAAUAAAGAAUAGAAGCCAAAUAUUAUGUUAAUUAGAAUUGGGAAGAAUUGUUUGUAUAAGGAAUUAGGACCAUAAUACUGCCAUUAGCAAAUAUUGUUAGGAACUAAAAAUCUUAAGAUUGGGUUCAAUAACUGGCGUACUAAUUAAUUGGGGCUUCUUUAAAAUAAUAUAAAAUGCAUUAAAUAAUUAUUUAAUGAGAACAACAAAUGGCUUGAGAAUUGAUGUUUACAAGUUAUAUGCUAUGCAAAAUUGCAUAAAGUUGCAGGGAAGUAACGUUCUGCCCGUGGUAAUCUAUUCCCAAUAGUUCGUUAAAAUUGAGUUUUAGUAUAUUGAGAGAGGUAAUUAAAUAUUAGUAUGUAUCGAAUUAUUUAAACUACAUCGAAGUUAUGCUAAUUGGAGGAUUUAAGACUUAUCUUAGGUUUGAACUUUAGGAAAUUGAUUAUAAAAUUAGGUGAGUUUUUGGGUUUAGGGUAGACAUAAAAUAAUAUGAAUGUUUAUAAACUCGUCAACUUAAAAAUUAUGCAUAUAUACUUGAUAGAUUGAAAAGGUUCAGAAGUAUUGAGGAAAGAAAAAGCAUUGGAGAAGUUGAUUGCUUGACUUCGAUUCUUCAAUGGAGGUAGGUUAUGAUUUAUGCUGUUUGAUGGUAAACUCUAUAGGGAUUGAUAUGCAUUGGAUGAUGUGUGAAGUUUUCUAUGUACUUGAUUGUGUGGUUGUGUGACUUGGUUGUGUGUUUUGUGAUUGGUCUGAAAUUCUGAGACCGUGAAAUUUAUAUUCUUGAAACCUUUUUAACGAAUGAUGUCUUGAAUAAAGAAGGCUUGAUGAAAUAUUAUCAUUGAAUUAAAAGUGGUGAUAAUAAAUGAUAAAUUAAUGAUAUAAUUGGAUCUGAGUGUCACGUUUCGACACGGUAUAAUUGAAUCGAAGUAUCACGUUCCGACACGACAUUCAUGGAUCGGAGUGUCACAUUCUAACACAGUAUAAUUGGAUUGGAGUGUCACAUUCUGACAUAGUAACAUUAAAGGAAAAAGAUAUUGAAUUCACUUAAUGUACUCAAUCUCAAAGAACUCUAUUCCCCAAAUGGUUUGAUUGGAGGCAUGAGUCCUCAUGGAUGAUCUUGAUAUUGUUGAAACUGGCUCAUGUUGUUUGUCCUUAUCACAUGUUAAGUGAUAUAGUUGAGUUUAUACUAUUAUUCAUUUUAUUUUAGUUUCUUGUUUUGUUUGAUCGAUGAUACCUACUCACUAUAUGUUGCUCCGUACUGAGCCCUAUUUGUAUUUUUCUUUGUUUUCCUUUUGUGGAGUGCAGCGAGUGUACCAAUGACUUCGAAUUGCCCUAAGCUCUAGCAAGUAUCGGCAUAUCAGGUUCAAGGAUGAGCUAUUCAUUCGAGCUUGGGUUGGAUUCUCUCGGUCAUUACAUGAUGUCCUUAGUUUUCGGACACAAAUUACUUUAUUUUCAUUUAUUUUGGUGUCUUUGAUAAUCUUAGACUUAGUGAUUGGAGAUUAGAUACCCUUGUUGUGAUGACUUUCAAGUUUUAAGAAAUAAUAGUUAAUAAAUUUUGAAGCUUCUACAUUAUUUUAUUAUUCGUAGUUAAAUUAUUGGUAGAUAUUGGGAUUUGAAUUUCUUAAUUCGUCCACCUAGAUAAUUAAGUGUGGGUGUCACUCACAACUCAUUUGGAAUCGUGACACCAAAAAAUAAUAAUAAUCCUAAUACCCUCAUUAAUUACCAGAAAAAUUGCAAGCAUGCAUAUGAAAUUACAAAUUUAAUAGAUUUCAAUUUCUCUCCUUUUUAUUUCUCCAUCUCCAUUAUAAUAUUAAUAAUAAUAACAUAACCUAUAACUAUAUACUUUAAUAGAUUAACUGAAAUAUUACCUGAUGUGCAGAAGUCAGUUCCUAUGUCGGCGACCGCUUUGCACAGGCUAGUAGUUCUUCUUCCCUCUUUUUUUUUUCUAAAAUAAAUAUAUACUUUAUUAACUUAUUUUUAAUAAUUAUAGGUCAAAUAGUAUAGAGUGUUAAAUAAAUUAAUUAUUAUUUUAAUUCAUUGACUAUCAAUUAAGUCAAUUAUCUAUAAUCAUCCAUCAAUUAAUUAACUAAAGUUAAAUGAAUAGUUUAGAUAAUUUUUUCAGCAGUGAUUGUACUGAGGAGGAUAAUAACCUGGCGUGGGGCUUGAUGAUUAGAUGAUCAACCGGAAUUAAAGGAAUUUUCAAUGAUUAAUCAAAUUGCAAUUAUUUUAAUAUUGAAUACAUACUCUCCGUAUUUAUUUGUUGAUAUUAUUGUUGAUCAAAUGGCAUUAAAAUUUAUAUUUCCUGUCAAUUUUACUAAGGCUUUUUGUCAUUACUUUUCACAUGGUGGCACCUUUAAUUGAGGACCAGAAAAUCUGUUUAGUACAAAUUGAUAACAUUUGUAAGAUGGUUCUUUUCUUUGACCUUACUGUUAUUAAGAGGAUCUCUGCAGUAGCGAUUAACUUAGAUAACACCAAAGGCACAGUCUUUUGGAAACAAUUAUCUCUAUCUUCAUGUGAUAUAUAUAUAUUAUCGUAUUGCAAGAUAGUAAUACACUUCUUUGGGAGUUACAUGUUAGCUCGGGAUGUCACAUAGACUUACCCUCAACACCAUUACUCUUAAAUUCGAGAAUUGGACAUGCACUAUUCGGUUCAUAGACAAGUAUAAUAUCAGCUACUCCUAUAGGAUAACGAGAUUAUUCUACUUGUUUUACACUGCCAAAUUUUUUUUAUAUAUAUAUUGCCAUUUAUUCACUCAUUAAAGAACAAAUAGAAUUGACAUUUAAAUCAUUAAUUAAUACAUUUUCUGAAUUAUUUAGCCUGAUUUGAUAGAGAACUUACAUUCCAUCUUCUUUGGUUGCUCAUAUUUUCUACAUCGGCACCUUACCAUGUAUGUACAUUACAUGGUUGAUUCUGAGAAUCAAAACAACAUAACCAAACGUACUCUCUAUAUAUAAUAGUUCUUAAACAUACAACACUCUUUAUUAUUUUUUCUUUAGUUAAGUUCAAUUAUAAUUUAUAUCAAGUAAUUCUUUAGACCAAGAACCUGCUAUAGGCACAAAUAAUGCACACAAUUACUUGAUGCUACUUAAAUCCAUAUUUUUGGUAUAACUGUACAAAGUUGUUGAACUCUUGUCUCCUAGCUUUGAUUUAAAACUUAUUCCCUUUCAGUUUUUUGUACAUUAGAUAGGAUUGGUACAGUCUAGAUCUAUGUUGCUUGGAAAAAGAUGCAUGUCGAAUUAUUCAAAAGUAGUGUCUUUAGGUCUAAAGUAUCCUCUUUAUAAUAGUUGUUUUCACUCUUUUUACCAUCUUAUUUAUGUGUCUUCUCCUUUGGAAAUGCAUUGGUUCACUGCUCUUACGACAAACAAUUAACACUAUUUUCUUCAUCUGAGGUUUAAGUCUAGGGCAGUUGUAAUUAGUGGUUACAGGUACAUUCAGGUUUUUUUAACUUUGGUAAGUACCUCGCUUUUGUUUGUUUUAAUUAUUAUAGUUCAUCAUUUGCAUGUCUUUUUCUUUUGUUUCUUAUUUUUAUAUUCAUUUAUCUAUUUGUUCAUUUUCUUUGAUUGUUUUUUUCCUGUGUUCUUUCUACACAUGGUUCUAAUAUCCAUAAAGUUUGCGUCUUGAAAAAAUCUAUUGCAAUACAAGACCUUCAACUAUAAAAGAAUUGAACCCCGGAAAUUAGCCGAUAAACAAGCUAGGCGUCAAGAAUUAUACCUGAUUAUGGGACUAGAGAGAAAAACAGAGCUUCUUUGGCUCGACAGUGAGGAAACAAAGCUUAUUUUAAAAAUUGUGUCCUGCUCGACAACACUUUGUUUGCGGAGCACCUCUCGUGAAAAGGUAGAAUAAAAUUGAACAUGAAGAUAUUGAAAAUUUUGGAAAGGAUAAAGGGAUAAGCAAUUCCUGGCCAUUCACUCAGCAAAUGUGAAAGAUGUCAAAAUGCUCCUUCAUGUUUAGCAAAAGUUUCUUUUCAAAAGAGAUGAGAGUUUCAUCCAUUGAAUCAACUUUCAAAUGUAUUAUUAUUAUUAUUGAUUAUUAGUAUUAGUUAGUAUAAAUAAUCCAAAACAUGCUUAAUAACGACAAGAUCAGAAAUUUUAGUAAGGAUAUCUAAAAAUUAUGGUGUGUGGCUGUCAAAAUAAAACAGAAAAACAUUGUACUAGUUGAUAUUCAAGCUCAGAACGUCUUCAUUCAAAUGGGCAUUCAUAAUUGGCGUCUUGUUAAGACUCUUAAGAGUGUCCAACUUUACAUAUAUAUCCUUUAAAUACAAAAUUUAACGUGUAUAAUUUUCCAAUGACAAGAUGAUUAGAGGUAUUGAGGCCUUCAUGUCUAAUCAAAUAUCACAAAAAUUUAAAUUUAUAUUUAAAUUUACGAAAACCAUAAGUUAGAAUUUUUAACUUAUGAUUUUUGACUUAUUUUUGUUAUUUUGACUUUAAAAAUAAGUGUUUAUAAGCACUUUUUAACUUUAUCUAAAAAUUGGAUCUUUUUUAAUAAAACAAUCAGCAUCUUAUCUUAUAGAACAAUAACUCAAACAAGAUUGAGUUACAACUCGAAUAAAAAAAAAAACAGAAAAUGACUUUACAUUAAAAAAAUCAAAUAAACUCGUAGAAGUUGAGGCAUACCUUAGAUCCGAGUGAAUAGAAGAUAUAUAUUCUGUGUAGAUCACUUCUAGGCAGACCUCUGCUUUCUCUAUUCUCAGAAAGCGUACAGAUGAAACACUAAUCGAUGAGAUCUGGCCUGGGUUUUGCUGCUAGGAAGACCUGUGCUUUCUCAUUUUUGGAUGAGAGCUUUACUAAGAUCGUUGUGAGGGAAGAUUGUUGUUAGCUUGGUAAAAUCUCUGCUAAGGUUGUUCACUUGUUUGAUUUCACAAUAUCUUUUGGGAAAUAAACUGAAGUUUCUUUUCUUUGUUUUAUUUUUCUUUUAAAAUUUUAAUGAAUAGUGAAAUUUUAGGCGGCCAAUUUUGGUGAAACUAUGAAGUUCCCGCCUUUCAAUAUAUUUCAAAGACGCCUUAAUUUUUA